rnacentral:rRNA from 1 species
CGCUUUUGUGUGGUGCACUUGCCGGGGGUUGGCCCAGCAUCGGUUUUGACGGUGGGAUAAAGGUUCGAGGAAUGUGGCUCCCCGAUUCCGGGGAGUGUUAUAGCCCCGAGCGCAAUGCCACCUGUUGGGACCGAGGACCGCGCUUCCGCUAGGAUGCUGGCGCAAUGGUCUUAAGCGGCCCGUCUUGAAACACGGACCAAGGAGUCUAACAUCUAUGCGAGUGUUCGGGCGGAAAACCCUUGCGCGUAAUGAAAGUGAACGGAGGUGGGAACCCUUUGGGGUGCACCAUCGACCGAUCCUGAUGUCUUCGGAAGGAUUUGAGUAGGAGCAUAGCUGGUGGGACCCGAAAGAUGGUGAACUAUGCCUGAAUAGGGUGAAGCCAGAGGAAACUCUGGUGGAGGCUCGCAGCGGUUCUGACGUGCAAAUCGAUCGUCAAAUUUGGGCAUAGGGGCGAAAGACUAAUCGAACUAUCUAGUAGCUGGUUCCUGCCGAAGUUUCCCUCAGGAUAGCAGUAACGUUUUCAGUUUUAUGAGGUAAAGCGAAUGAUUAGAGGCCUGGGGGUUGAAACAACCUUCACCUAUUCUCAAACUUUAAAUAUGUAAGAAGUCCUUGUUGCUUAGUUGAACGUGGACAUUUGAAUGUAUCGUUACUAGUGGGCCAUUUUUGGUAAGCAGAACUGGCGAUGCGGGAUGAACCGAACGCGGAGUUAAGGUGCCGGAAUGCACGCUCAUCAGACACCACAAAAGGUGUUAGUUCAUCUAG